rnacentral:rRNA from 1 species
UGGUCAAGUUAUUAAGGGUGCAGGGCGGAUGCCUUGGCACUAGGAGCCGAUGAAGGACGUGAUAAGCUGCGAUAAGCUUCGGGGAGUUGCACGUAAACUUUGAUCCGAAGAUUUCCGAAUGAGGAAACUCACUUAGAGUAAUGUCUAAGUAUCAUUAAGUGAAUACAUAGCUUAAUGAGGGGAACUCAGGGAACUGAAACAUCUAAGUACCUGAAGGAAGAGAAAGAAAUUCGAUUCCGUAAGUAGCGGCGAGCGAACGCGGAUUAGCCCAAACCAAUAAAGUUUUCUUUAUUGGGGUUGCGGACAUAUCAUAACGAAGAGGUAUCGUAAUUGAAGAGGUUUGGAAAGACCCACCACAGAAGGUAAUAGUCCUGUAUGUUAAACGAGAAGACUUUAGAUAUGAUCCAGAGUACCACGGGACACGUGAAACCCUGUGGGAAGCAGGAGGGACCACCCUCCAAGGCUAAAUACUACCUAGUGACCGAUAGCGUAUAGUACCGUGAGGGAAAGGUGAAAAGAACCCCGGGAGGGGAGUGAAAUAGAACCUGAAACCCUGCACUUACAAGCUGUGGAAGCACAUUUCUUGUGUGACCGCGUACUUUUUGUAGAACGGGCCAACGAGUUACGUUAAGUAGCAAGGUUAAGCACUUAAGGUGCGGAGCCGUAGCGAAAGCGAGUUUUAACUGAGCGUUCAGUUACUUGACGUAGACCCGAAACCGGGCGACCUACCCAUGAGCAGGAUGAAGCGAAAGUAAAAUUUCGUGGAGGUCCGAACCCACGAGCGUUGAAAAGCUCGGGGAUGACUUGUGGGUAGCGGUGAAAUUCCAAUCGAGCCCGGAGAUAGCUGGUUCUCCCCGAAAUAGCUUUAGGGCUAGCCUCAAGGUGAGAGAUACGGAGGUAGAGCACUGAAUGUCCUAGGGGGUAUUGCACCUACCGAAGACUAUCAAACUCCGAAUGCCGUCAUCUUAUACUUGGGAGUCAGACUGUGGGUGAUAAGAUUCAUAGUCGAAAGGGCAACAGCCCAGAUCGUCAGCUAAGGUCCCUAAAUGUAAGUUAAGUGGUAAAGGAUGUGGGAUUGCACAGACAACCAGGAUGUUGGCUUAGAAGCAGCCACUCAUUCAAAGAGUGCGUAAUAGCUCACUGGUCGAGUGAUCCUGCGCCGAAGAUUUCCGGGGCUAAAACUUACUACCGAAGCUACGGCAUCAGUAAUGAUGGGUAGGGGAGCUUCCCAUACGGGUUGAAGCAUGACCGUAAGGACAUGUGGACAGUAUGGGAGUGAGAAUGUUGGCAUGAGUAGCGAGAUGUGGGUGAGAAUCCCACAGGCCGUAAACCCAAGGUUUCCAGGGGAAGGUUCGUCCGCCCUGGGUUAGUCGGGACCUAAGCUGAGGCCGAAAGGCGUAGGUGAUGGACAACAGGUUGAUAUUCCUGUACUACCGAUAACCGUUUGAGAGAAGGGAUGACACAGUAGGAUAAGCUAAGCACACUGUUGGUUAUGUGUGCCCAAGCAUUGAGGCAGUCAAAGUAGGCAAAUCCGCUUUGAUAAUGCUGGGAUGUGAUGGGGAGCGAAAUUUAGUAGCGAAGUAGCUGAUUUCACACUGUCAAGAAAAGUCUCUAUCGAGGUUAAAGGUACCCGUACCGCAAACCGACACAGGUGGGUGAGGAGAGUAUCCUAAGGCCAGCGAGAGAACUGUUGUUAAGGAACUCGGCAAAAUGACCCCGUAACUUAGGGAUAAGGGGUGCCACCAUCAGGUGGCCGCAGAGAAUAGGCCCAAGCGACUGUUUACCAAAAACAUAGGUUUCUGCUAAGUCGCAAGACGAUGUAUAGGAGCUGACGCCUGCCCGGUGCUGGAAGGUUAAGGGGAUCUGUUAGAGCAAUCGAAGCAGUGAACUUAAGCCCCAGUAAACGGCGGCCGUAACUAUAACGGUCCUAAGGUAGCGAAAUUCCUUGUCGGGUAAGUUCCGACCCGCACGAAAGGCGUAACGAUUUGGGCACUGUCUCAACAACAGACUCGGUGAAAUUGUAAUUCCGGUGAAGAUGCCGGAUACCUGCGACAGGACGGAAAGACCCCAUGGAGCUUUACUGUAGCUUGACAUUGGGUCUUGGUACUACAUGUACAGGAUAGGUGGGAGGCUUUGAAACCAGGACGCCAGUUUUGGCGGAGCCAUCCUUGGGAUACCACCCUUGUAGUACUGGGACUCUAACCAUAGGCCAUGAAUCUGGUCUUGGGACACUGUCAGGUGGGCAGUUUGACUGGGGCGGUCGCCUCCCAAAAGGUAACGGAGGCGCUCAAAGGUUCUCUCAGUACGGUCGGAAAUCGUACGUAGAGUGUAAAGGCAAAAGAGAGCUUGAUUGCAAGACAUACAGGUCGAGCAAGGAUGAAAAUCGGACUUAGUGAUCCGGUGGUUCUGCGUGGAAGGGCCAUCGCUCAACGGAUAAAAGCUACCCUGGGGAUAACAGGCUUAUCUCCCCCAAGAGUCCACAUCGACGGGGAGGUUUGGCACCUCGAUGUCGGCUCAUCACAUCCUGGGGCUGUAGUAGGUCCCAAGGGUUGGGCUGUUCGCCCAUUAAAGUGGUACGCGAGCUGGGUUCAGAACGUCGUGAGACAGUUCGGUCCCUAUCCGUCGCAGGCGUAGGAAAUUUGAGAAGACCUGUCCUUAGUACGAGAGGACCGGGAUGGACGUACCUCUGGUGUACCAGUUGUCCUGCCAAGGGCAUGGCUGGGUAGCUAUGUACGGAAUGGAUAAGCGCUGAAAGCAUCUAAGCGCGAAGCCAACUUCAAGAUAAGAUUUCCCACCGUAAGGGUAAGACCCCAGAAAGACUAUCUGGUUGAUAGGUCGAAGGUGUAAGUGCAGCAAUGUAUUUAGCUUAUCGAUACUAAUAGGUCGAGGACUUGACCAAU